CGACGUUUCAAGUCUCACCAUUAAAACUAAAAUAAACCCUAAAAACCUAACAUUUCAUCAGAAAUAAAAAAAAACUGAAGCUCCUCUUUUUUUUUUCACAGCUCUGCUCAUCGAUCCUUCAAACGGAUCUCUGAACCCCUGCUCAGGCUCCGACGACGACAGAGAGAGCAAGGAUUCGACGGCGAGGUACCCAUUUCUCUAAACUUGCUUUCUCCUUUAUUUCUACACUAAAAGACGAACUCAAGAAUCAAAGAAAAUAGGGAAAACGAAGAAAGAUCUGAAAAUCACCUUACCAAAUUCUGUUUUUUUUUUAUUUCUCUCUGAAUACUUUUGUUUUUUUUUUACAAUAUUUGUAUGUCCUUCUGUUACAACAUUCUUGGCCUUUUAUAGCAUCUAUUUACAGAAAAAAUAAAGAGGUAAAAAAUAAAAAUGAAAAUCCCACCAAAUCGUCCCCCGCUUUGUCAUCUUUUCUUUUUUCUCUCUGCCCCCUUUUUUUGUGUGCCAUUGUUAUUUGUUUUUCUACCCAUUUUCUCGUCUAUUGCAGGUACAAUGUGCAAAGGUGCGGACGUGGCACGUACGGAAAUGAAGGCGCGCGUACGAGGGCUCAUCACGUGCGGAGGGGGAGCAAAGGGGACGUCACUGCUGCAGCGCUGGGAACCCUUGCUAGGGUUUUCGGUGUUUGGGGAAAACUUUGGGCUGAGUUAGGUUCUGGGCUAGGCUAAAAUUUGGGCUUGUACUGGGUCAAUUGUAAAUGGACUCUCUUUUUUUGGACUGAAUUUGAUUUAUUAUUUUUAUUUUUAUUUUUAUUUUUUGGUUUUUUUUACAAUGUAUGUGGGCCGGGCAUAAAUUGGGUAUUACAGCUGCCCCUUUUUGCUCGCUAUCGUGUAACGGGAACAGAGCAAAGACUAAAGAGGACCAAUUUUGCCUGGUCGUGCUUGGACCUUGGUGCUCUACUGCCUCUUCAGAGGUGUAGGAAUUGGUGCUUCGAUCCACUCCACUGCAACAUCAGGGAGAUAGGACUUGUAACUUUAACUUGUUCUGCUGCAACUUUAAAGAUAAUUCUGAUGUGAUCUACUCUACUGCAACUUUAGAGACAUAAGAUAUAUUACUUUAAUCCGCUCCACUACGACUUCAGGGAGAUAGGAUUAUCAGCUCCAAUCUACUCCACUGUAACUUCAGGGAGAUAAGAUUAUCGGCUUCAAUCUGCUUCUUUACACUUGAAGAUAAGAUUUGCCGUUUUGAAUCUGCUCCGCUACUACUUAGAUAGACAAGAUCUGUAAUUUCCAACCUAUUCCACUGCUGACCAGUGGGACAAGGCUCGGUGACUUAAGUCUGCUUCCCACUAUCCUGAAAAGAUAAGAUUUGUCGUCUUUGAUCUGCUCCACUACUGCUUAGGGAGAUAAGAUCUGCUAUCUUCAACCUACUCUGGUGCUGCUCAGGGAGACAAGGUUCGGUGGCUUAAAUCUGCUUCCCACUAUCUUGGAAAGAUAAGAUUUGUCGUCUUUGAUCUGCUCCGCUACAACUUAGGGAGAUAAGAUCUGCUAUCCUUACUGAUCUGUUCUCUGGGGAACAUGACACGUAUAAUGAACCUAAUUAUGCCUAAUGACUAGGAUGACAUGAUCAGAAUGAAUCAAAUGCUCCUAACUAGACAUGAGUGAAUGGUAUUUGCAUGGAUGCGAGAUGCUGCUUAUUACUCAAAAUCUAUUAAGGCUUUUGUCACAAUCGUGCUUUAACACCCUCUUUCUUAUCUGAUGUUUCCAAUGAAACACUUAAUUAAAUUGCCUCCACCGUAAACCUCCAAGCUCGAUUCACUGGGUUAUGUUCGCUAUGCAACUCAAGAAAAAAGAUGAGAUUUGGUCAUUUCUCCAUCUUUUCCAUCGCAAUUGAAGGAUACCAAACGUGUAAAUCUUUGGUUUUAUACCAUUCUCAAAAUGCCACAUCAAAUGCUUGUGCACGAAGAAUUUUCCUCCAAAGAGAUCUCUUCUUUCUAACUCAUUAUUAUUACUGACAUUUCGUUCAAUUGAUGCUUUCUGUCAACAAAAUCCAAAAGGGAUUGUUUAAAAAAAAUCAAACUUUUCUUAGAUUUCUGACCUUUAAUCCUGGUUCGUUCUAAACAAUAGUCCUGUUUCAGGUUACUGUAUUAUUUAGAAACUUUUUCAGAGUAAUAUGCAAAACUUCUUUUGUGAAAGUUUUAAUAGUCCAUUAAUCACUAUUCCAAUGCAACAUGUUUGCUGAAAGAUUAUAACUAUGGAUAAAAGUUGGUUCUGAGCAUAGCUCAAAAGAGAUAAAAUAUCAACAAUAGUGAAAGAAGGAUAACAAAGAAGUUGAUUGAGAAUGUGUAUAUUAGCAAAAAAAAAGGUAUUUUCAAGAAUAACAUAUUCAAUAAAAUAAAAUAUGCGAUACAAAUCAAGAAAAAUGGAAAGAAAACCUAUUGAAACUGAGCAAACAUAAAGGGACUCUCAACGCAAAUAAACCAAUAAGUCAGAACGUGUGGAUCCUCCCUGGGUCGGGUCACCGCGCGAGUCACGGGCCUUUAAACGGCGCCGUUUUGAAGCUAUCACAUUAGCUACAAACAGCGACGUUUCAAGUCUCACCAUUAAAACUAAAAUAAACCCUAAAAACCUAACAUUUCAUCAGAAAUAAAAAAAAAACUGAAGCUCCUCUUUUUUUUUUCACAGCUCUGCUCAUCGAUCCUUCAAACGGAUCUCUGAACCCCUGCUCAGGCUCCAACGACGACAGAGAGAGCAAGGAUUCGACGGCGAGGUACCCAUUUCUCUAAACUUGCUUUCUCCUUUAUUUCUACACUAAAAGACGAACUCAAGAAUCAAAGAAAAUAGGGAAAACGAAGAAAGAUCUGAAAAUCACCUUAC
rnacentral:lncRNA from 1 species